AGUCACCCCAUGAGAGCAGCAUAAUCCUGGCAUGUUCCACAUUAUGGUCCAAUAAUGGGCUGUGCUGCUGAGAAAGGAAAACCCAGAUCAGUGAUUCUGGGGAGAAUAAAACCCUUCCAGACCACUGCAAGGUGUUGCAAUGACACGUUCACAACACUGACAUUAAGGCUCCUUUACAACAUUUUCAGGAAUCUUACUGGUUUCCUAUGGUUUAGGUCCUUCCAAGUCUGAGCUCACUCUUAGACUGAGGAAACAACUUGUCAGUUUGAAGUCUGCUUAAUUUUUAGUGAUUCAAAAUUGAUGCCUUUUUAGUGGGUAUCUUGGAGGGAUUUUUCUACCACCUCUUAACAAAAAAUGGUCAUGACUCGAGGGGAUCAAAUUAUUUUCCUAUUCUGGCAGAAAAUAACAUCCCAUGAUUUACAGAAAAAUCAUUUACUCUCCCCAACAUGGCAGCUGUUUUGAAGGAUGUGAAUACAAACCUUUCUUCUGGAAAAGCAAUUUGAUAAAAUCUGCAGCAGUAAAGCAAACUUAAGUCUGAUCUUCUCAGGUCACUGUUUGCUGCCUCAAUGUGUUGUUGCAAUUUUGAGAAACCACUCUAAACCAAGGUUGUAAGUUUUGGUAUAAUGUAAAGCAAAUAGAAAAGAAUGGAUGUCUUUGCUGUGAUUAUGAACAUGGUAAAUGCUGCCCCUGCUAAGAGAAGAAAUUGAGAUUUUUCUACAGAUUUCAGAAAUUCAGAUUUUGCUCCGUGGUGAGUCUCAUAACAGCACCAGCACCACGAAUUCAUGAGGAUACCAGAACUGUGGGAGCUGCAUUUCCUCUGUGGAGACGAAGCUACGGAAACCCGAGCUCUGACACCGGACUGACACAGAAUUAGGGAUCCCUCACACCUAUGGGCUGCAGAAGGCCUGCCUCAGCUGACAGCUUUUCCUGUCCUCAUGAAGCUUUGCAUCAAAUUGGUAGCAGAGACCUUAAAAAUGUGGUAUUUGCUUUGGCAGAGCAUUUCCAUAUGGCUCAAAUCAGCAGAGCCACUGGGUCUGAGUGCAGCAGGGGACAGGUCACCUCUGCUACUCUUGCAGCCUGGUGUUUUUAAUGGGAAGUAAUGGAGCUAAUCCUGCUAUAAAAUUGCUGAGUAUAUCUGAUUAUUAAUUCUGUUUUUAAAAGAGACAUAAAAAGAGAAAGGGACUUGUAAUUGCCUCACUGCACAUGUGCUGUAAUUACCACAAGAUAUAAAGAAUAUUAAAAAUUGGA